UACGUAAGGACCGAGCGUUGUCCGGAAUCAUUGGGCGUAAAGGGUACGUAGGCGGUUAUAAAAGUUAGAAGUGAAAGGCUAUAGCUCAACUAUAGUAAGCUUUUAAAACUGGUAAUCUUGAGGUCUGGAAGGGAAAGUGGAAUUCCUAGUGUAGCGGUGAAAUGCGCAGAUAUUAGGAGGAAUACCGGUGGCGAAGGCGACUUUCUGGCCAUUAUCUGACGCUGAUGUACGAAAGCGUGGGUAGCAAACAGG
rnacentral:rRNA from 1 species